CCAAGCAGCGGGGCGCGGGGCGGGCCCGGGGACUAUGGAAGGAGCCCGGUCCGCGCAGGGAGGUGGCCCCGGGGCUGUGGAAGGAGCCCCGGUCGCGCAGCCUGCGGCUCUCGGGGCUUCCGAGUGGAGUCUGGGCUCCCUCCUCCGCAGGCGGCUGCCUCCUGCGUUCAGUGGGACUACGGAGACGGCCGCAGGAACUGGGGACUCGGGAGGCACACAGCUGGGCUGCUGCGGACUGGCGGGAGUGGAGGGGGCUCGCACAGGCGCGCGUCGGGAGGCUCUGGUCACCUGGCGAUGAGGGCAGCCUGCUGUGCCUGUUUCUUCUUUGAAAGCAGGGCCGGAUCACUCGAUCCUCUGAAGUUCUUCAGCUUCACGUCAGUUCUUCCUUCCUUCUCCAGUGAUGUUUUUCAAAGUUCCUGCUCCAGAUUUUACUCUUGAACUUCACGGCGUUGCUUGAAGUAGGUGGAUGCUUCCCUUAGUCACAGUCUCAGAGUCUCGAGUAAUUCAUUCCGUCUCAGUGGGACUUCUGCCGGCCAGAACCCACACAUUGCUCCAGGGAGCCAGCUAAGGAAAGGGAAGAGUGUUACAGGGGCUGGCUCUCAGCUUAGUUCGUCUGAGUGUUGACAACAGUGUCCUGAAGGGCUGCUGGCACCGGAUGUUGGAACAGAGAAACCCAGCACUGCCUCUCGAGACCCUCAGUUACACAGAGACCAGCAAGCAUGUGGGCCAUGGCAGCAGCUUGAGAGUGGCGCACGUGGACAUGGAGGAGCACCCAGGAUGUGGACGGCGAGGGGAGAAGGGAAGGAAGUAGGGGCGGGGGGGAGAGUGUUCCAGAUUGAGGGGCUUGGAGUGGAGAUUGGAGAGAGCCUGGUGCAUCCGGGAAACCAGUCCUGGUGUGCUUGUCUGGCAAAGAAGGGAGUGCCGUGGUGAGGGCAGACUGGCAGGCCAGAGGGAGGAACCAACGCCUUGAAUUGUGGUUCGAAGUAAGUGCUCACACGUUUUAGGAGUCUAAGGAGAGGAGUGACAUCGGCGCCGCAGUUUUUAGGAAGGUCCCUCUGGCCUUUGGAGAGUGGGGGGGAUGGGGUGAGAGUGGAGGCAGAAGCGCCCGCUCCGAAGCCACUGCAGCAGUAAAGGCUGGGGAUGCGAGCUUGCUGCACAUCACAGGUUUCCGAACUCUUUGUAAAGGGCCGAGUAGUAAUCCUGCAGACUUUUCUGUGCCGCAUCUUCUGAAGUGUUGACUCUGCCUUGUAUCAGGAAGGCAGCCGCAGACCCCAGGAGCAUAAGGGCGAGGCGCUGGGCCAGGUGGUAGUUUGCCUGCCCCAUGCUAAGCCAGGGUCUCAAAGCCUUUUGGUUUUGUACUCUCCAUAAUUUUUAAGGCCCAGGGAGUUUUUGUUCGUGAGGGCUCUAUCAGUACUCACUGUGAUUGGAAAUUAAAACAGAACAACUAAAAAUGUUUGUUAUUUCACUUUAAUAAUAAAUCUACUAUAUGUUAACAUAACGUUUUUAACGAAAAACACCUUUCUCCAACAAAAAGACUAAGUGGCAUUGUUUUGCACUUUGCAGACCUAAGUGUAGGGCUUGAAGGAGACAGUUGGAUUCUCAGACCUGCUUCUGCCUUCAGUCUGUUACGACUGUUUUAUCAAAAUACACAAAGAAAAUUUCACCUCGUACUUACAUGUAGUUAGAGAAGGGAGGGGCGAUUUAAUAGCCUUCUCAUGCAAUUAUGGAUGUUCUUCCUACAGCAGAAUUGGGCACAUGGUGGUUUCUUCAAGUUUCGUUGCACUUUGGAGUCUGAAACCAUAUUGCUGAAUUUUCUACCCCUGUUGACAUUAAAAUCCGUAGUUCUGUCUUGCGCUCUGAGUGUGUCUCUUGCGUAUGCAGGUGACUUGGCGGCAUCACGCCUUGGGCACUGGGACGUACGUGUUGGCACACGGACUCACUCAGAUCUUCUGAACGCCGAUUCAUUUCUUCACACGAGGUCAGGGAAGACCAGCGCUGAUCUCAUCAGAGAAGCCCUGGUGGAAAGCUGCCGAGAAUAAAAGCCGCCCUCACUCUAUGGGAGAAUACAAAGUCUACAGUACCUGUCAAAGUCAUAGACCAGAGUUUUACUGUUUGAAAAGUCUAGAAAUUGAGGGAAAAAUUAAUAAAAUUGGAUGGUUACCGCAACAGAAUGCUGCUCACUUUCUGCUCUCUGCAAAUGAAAACAGUAUUUGUAACUGGAAACACUAACGUGCAGAUACUCCUGGCCUGUGAACGGACGUGGAACCUCAGAGUUCUUAGCAGAACACUCAGCUGAUAGUGGAGCAUGAUGUGGUUUUUCUUUUACUAUGGAGAAGGAGGUUUCUGUUUUCAGAUAAAACUAUUAAAUUAUGGAAAAUAAGUGAAUGGGAUAAAAGAGCAGAAGGUUACAGCUUGAAGGAUGAAGAUGGACGACUUCGAGACCCAUUUAGAAUUACAGCACUCCGAAAGCUGGCUGGGACGCGCGCUGGUGGCAGGCAGCCGUCCAAACCCGGCAGCGGGCCUCGCGGGGUCCCCCGCGCAGUUCCCAUUGAGACCGUGACGCCCGGAGCACCCGCCAUCGUGACCGGCUCCUACAACAGCUUCUUCAGGAUGUUCAAGAGGAACAUGCAGAGGGGUGUUCCGCUGGAAGCUUCCAGAGAGAACAGCAAGCCUUGGGCCAGCUUGAAACCUCGCAGUGUGUCCCCGUGGAAAGCGGAAGAAGGACAAGGUCAGCGUGUACAGCCUGGACUUCAUGAGGAAGGUCCUGUACACGGCCUGGCAACCGGCGGAGAAUGUCGCUGUGGCCGCCACCAGUAACCUGUACGUAUUCCAGGACAAGGCCAGCUGAGGGCGGAAAGGCCGCGGGCUGUGCGCUCUGCCUCGGCGGGGCCAGCCCAGGUGUCUCUGCUCCAGCCAGGAGCUCCGCGGGCUGGUGGACAGGACUCCGGAAGGGCUGUUCCUCAAAACUGAUGUUACUUAUGUAUUUAAGUCUGAGCUUUCCUUCCAGUUUAUAGACCAGAAGUUAACAUCCGAGGGAAAGGUUGUCAACUGCGGUAUCUCUUCAGCUCUCUCCCCUCUGACUCGUGCGCCAGGCGGGCCCACCCCACACGCUGUGUCUGCCGUCGCACUGUCUGCUGCAGCCACUUCAUACAACAACACACUAUAAAAAGUUUUAAAAUUCCAAAAUAA